CCGUAACUAUAACGGUCCUAAGGUAGCGAAAUUCCUUGUCGGGUAAGUUCCGACCCGCACGAAAGGCGUAAUGAUUUGAGCGCUGUCUCGACAAUGCAUCCGGUGAAAUUGAAGUACCAGUGAAGAUGCUGGUUACCUGCGCCAGGACGGAAAGACCCCAUGGAGCUUUACUCUAGUUUGGUACUGGGGUCCGGUAUUGCAUGUACAGGAUAGGUGGGAGACUGAGAAGUGUGAACGCCAGUUUGCACGGAGUCAUUGUUGGGAUACCACCCCUGCAGUAUUGGGCUUCUAACAGGUAGCCGUAAACCGGCUAAUGGACAAUGCCAGGCGGGGAGUUUGACUGGGGCGGUCGCCUCCGAAAGGGUAUCGGAGGCGCUCAAAGGUUCCCUCAGAAUGGUCGGAAACCAUUCGAAGAGUGCAAAGGCAGAAGGGAGCUUGACUGCGACACCGACGGGUGGAGCAGGUACGAAAGUAGGACUUAGUGAUCCGGUGGUAUAAAGUGGGAUUGCCAUCGCUCAACGGAUAAAAGCUACCCUGGGGAUAACAGGCUUAUCACUCCCAAGAGUUCACAUCGACGGAGUGGUUUGGCACCUCGAUGUCGGCUCAUCGCAUCCUGGGGCUGUAGUAGGUCCCAAGGGUUGGGCUGUUCGCCCAUUAAAGCGGUACGCGAGCUGGGUUCAGAACGUCGUGAGACAGUUCGGUCCCUAUCCUCCGUGGGCGCAGGAGAAUCGAUGGAGGCUGCCCCCAGUACGAGAGGACCGGGGUGGACGCACCUCCGGUGAACCGGUUGUCGACCAACGGCACGGCCGGGUAGCCGCGUGCGGCGCGGAUAACCGCUGAAGGCAUCUAAGCGGGAAGCCGUUCCAGGGAUUAGUUCUCCUUCCGGUAAGGGCCCAGGUAGACUACCUGGUCGAUAGACGGCAGGUGCAAGGCUGGCGACAGCCUCAGCCGAGCCGCACUAAUCGCCCGAGCUCUUCCGGAA
rnacentral:rRNA from 1 species